UGCGCGAUGGUUAAACACGGGCUGACUGAACCGUGCUAUGCUUCGCCCGCGGGCACUGGAUACCUAAAUUUCUAGGUCUCUAAUCCAACCCAACGCCAGAAAAGAAAACCCUGGACAUCGGUGGCUGAAACCGAGCCGUCUUUACCCUCGCCAAGGAAUCAUGAGUAAGCGAUACAGUCGAACGAUCUAUGUUGGCAAUCUCCCUGGCGACAUUCGUGAAAGAGAGGUGGAAGAUCUGUUCUGCAAGUAUGGAACGAUCAUUGAUGUUGAUCUAAAGAUUCCUCCAAGGCCUCCAGGGUAUGCAUUUGUUGAGUUUGAAGAUCCUCGUGACGCUGAAGAUGCUAUUCGUGGCCGUGAUGGAUAUAAAUUUGAUGGUCAAAGAUUACGGGUGGAACUUGCUCAUGGUGGAAGGGGCCAAUCUUCAUCGCUUGAUAAGCACAGCAGCUACAGUAGUGCAGGUCGACGUGGCGGUGUUUCCAGGCGCACAGAGUAUCGUGUUAUGGUCACUGGUUUACCCUCCUCGGCAUCAUGGCAAGACUUGAAGGACCAUAUGCGCCGAGCCGGUGAUGUCUGCUUUUCUGAAGUUUUUCGUGAUGGUGGUGGUACUGUUGGUAUUGUAGAUUAUACAAACUACGACGAUAUGAAAUAUGCAAUCAAGAAGCUUGAUGACUCUGAGUUUCGGAAUGCAUUUUCACGGGCGUAUAUAAGAGUGAAGGAGUAUGAUUCCAAAAGAAGCUUAUCUAGGAGUCGAAGUCGUAGCCGUUCAUAUUCAAAAAGUGCAAGUAGCCGUAGCAGAAGCAAGUCUCCAAGGGCAAAGUCAUCACGCCGUUCGUUGUCUAAAUCUCGAUCUAGAUCUGUAUCUUCUCGUUCUCACUCAGCAUCUAAAGGACAUUCUGUAUCAAGAUUUGGGCCUAAGCAGGGAUCUCUGGAUCGGAUAAUAGGAUCUGGAUUGGAUUGGGUGCAAAUGGUUGCAACUGUUUCAUUGUUGUAAGAGAGGAAUGGUUGCAAUAGCAAGCCGGAUUACUCAAUAAGCUAAAUGGAUUUGGCCCUCAUUGGACAAGUGCUAGGAACAACUUUUGUCCCUCCAUUUUCUCAAUACUAUAAGCUGCAAUCAAGAUUCUGGAUAUAGCUUUCCUUGAUCUCGAUCGCGAUCCAGAUCUCCAGUUAAUUCUGUAAGUUGGAAUUACAUUAUUAUUCAUCUUCAUGUUUACAUUAUUUCAACCGAACUGUAUAUCCACAGCCUGCUAAUGGCAAACCUGCAAGCAAAAGCCCAGUUAAGCUUAGUCUGAACAAGAGCCAAAGUCUCUCUCGUUCUCCUUCUCCUGCGGUGAAAUCGGAUUAGAACCCUCUUUGUAAGGAACCUGCGGACAUACUGAUUGGAAUUAGUUCAGCAGAUUCAAUUAGAUAAAACUUCGAUUCGGCAUUCUUAGCACCAGCAGUACUUUUUUGGGUUGCUCCAAAUUCUGUUCAAUGUAGUACCCUUGUCUAAGCUGAUGUAUUAUUGGGGGCCAAGGCUUGUGGUUGAAUGAUUGUGAGCUGUAGUUUGUUUGGAUUAUUGACUCUAUAACUUCCUAUCCUUUACAUGACACAAUUCAACAUUAUGACUUUAAAUCCGAUACAUUAUUGUCUUGUGACUUGGAGGUCACUAAUUUUAA